rnacentral:misc_RNA from 1 species
CUAGUAGUAGAAGUAGUUACUAGUUAAAAUUAAUGGUCAUUGGUAUGGUGCUCAGAGAUCCAUAUUUAUGAAAUGAAAGAUGAGUCUUUUACUGAGCAAGAAUGUUUUCUCUCAAGUCUCAGCAUAAGAAAAUUGAUAGAGGGAAUCUGACACAAGGAAUGCCAGACUUGUAAAAAACUGUUACAAGCCUUCUCAGGAAAAAAGAAUUAUAGAAAACUUUCUAAGUCUCAAAUACCGUUUUCAUUCUGAUAAUUGAGUUGAUUUUUUGUUUUUAGCCUUCCACUGAUUCAUAUCCUCUCUUGC